rfam:Gossypium arboreum cultivar AKA8401 contig_27063_3, whole genome shotgun sequence.
AAUCCAUGGUGUGGCCAUUUUUGAAUUAGCAUCUUAAUAUGCCCCCAUGUUUCGUGAAAGCUUUCUCCUUCUAACUGUGUGAAUAAUGAAAUUCCCCUUCUUAUCU